UACGAAGGGGGCAAGCGUUGCCCGGAUUUAUUGGGCGUAAAGUGUUUCGUAGGCGUUUUUGUAAGUUACUAUUCAAAGCCCGGGGCUUAACUCCGGAAAGGGUAGUAAUACUGCAAAAAUUGAAGAAUAUUGGGGCAACUGGAAUUGUCGGUGUAGGGGUGAAAUCCGUUGAUAUCGACAAGAACUCCGAAGGCGAAGGCGGGUUGCUAAAUAUUUCUUGACGCUGAUGAACGAAAGCUAGGGGAGCGAAAGGG
rnacentral:misc_RNA from 1 species